rnacentral:misc_RNA from 1 species
AACCUUAUGGACCUGCGGGCGUAUACCUGCGGAAGGAUCAUUAUUGAAUAAACUUGGUCAAGCCGUUGCUGGUCCUUCGGGGCAUGUGCACGCUUGCCACCAAUUUUAACCACCUGUGCACCUUUUGUAGAUUGGAAACGUUUCUCGAGGCAACUCGGAUUGAGGACUGCUGUGCGCAAGCCAGCUGUUCUUGUGUUUCUCAAUCUAUGUUUUCAUAUACUCCUAAUGUAUGUAUCAGAA